rnacentral:rRNA from 1 species
AGCGAACGCUGGCGGCAGGCCUAACACAUGCAAGUCGAACGAACCUUUCGGGGUUAGUGGCUGACGGGUGAGUAACACGUGGGAACGUGCCUUUAGGUUCGGAAUAACUCAGGGAAACUUGUUCUAAUACCGAAUGUGCCCUUCGGGGGAAAGAUUAAUCGCCUUUAGAGCGGCCCGCGUCUGAUUAGCUAGUUGGUUGAGGUAAUGGCUCACCAAGGCGACGAUCAGUAGCUGGUCUGAGAGGAUGAUCAGCCACAUUGGGACUGAGACACGGCCCAAACUCCUACGGGAGGCAGCAGUGGGGAAUCUUGCGCAAUGGGCGAAAGCCUGACGCAGCCAUGCCGCGUGAAUGAUGAAGGUCGUAGGAUUGGAAAAUUCUUUAACCGGGGACGAUAAUGACGGUACCCGGAGAAGAAGCCCCGGCUAACUUCGUG